GAUGAACGCUCGCUACAGGCUUAACACAUGCAAGUCGAGGGGAAACGACAUCGAAAGCUUGCUUUUGAUGGGCGUCGACCGGCGCACGGGUGAGUAACGCGUAUCCAACCUGCCCAUCACUUGGGAAUAACCUUGCGAAAGUAAGACUAAUACCCAAUGAUAUCCCACGAAGGCAUCGGAAUGGGAUUAAAGAUUUAUCGGUGACGGAUGGGGAUGCGUCUGAUUAGCUUGUUGGCGGGGUAACGGCCCACCAAGGCAACGAUCAGUAGGGGUUCUGAGAGGAAGGUCCCCCACAUUGGAACUGAGACACGGUCCAAACUCCUACGGGAGGCAGCAGUGAGGAAUAUUGGUCAAUGGGCGAGAGCCUGAACCAGCCAAGUAGCGUGCAGGAAGACGGCCCUAUGGGUUGUAAACUGCUUUUAUAAGGGAAUAAAGUGGGUCACGUGUGACUUUUUGCAUGUACCUUAUGAAUAAGGACCGGCUAAUUCCGUG
rnacentral:rRNA from 1 species